UACGUAGGGUGCAAGCGUUGUCCGGAAUUAUUGGGCGUAAAGAGCUCGUAGGCGGUUUGUCGCGUCUGCUGUGAAAUCCCGAGGCUCAACCUCGGGCUUGCAGUGGGUACGGGCAGACUAGAGUGUGGUAGGGGAGACUGGAAUUCCUGGUGUAGCGGUGAAAUGCGCAGAUAUCAGGAGGAACACCGAUGGCGAAGGCAGGUCUCUGGGCCGCAACUGACGCUGGAGGAGCGGAAAAGCAUGGGGAGCGAACAGG
rnacentral:rRNA from 1 species